GACGAACGCUGGCGGCGUGCUUAACACAUGCAAGUCGAACGGUAAGGCCCUUCGGGGUACACGAGUGGCGAACGGGUGAGUAACACGUGGGUGAUCUGCCCUGCACUUCGGGAUAAGCCUGGGAAACUGGGUCUAAUACCGGAUAGGACCCUGGGAUGCAUGUCCUGGGGUGGAAAGCUUUUGCGGUGUGGGAUGGGCCCGCGGCCUAUCAGCUUGUUGGUGGGGUGAUGGACUACCAAGGCGACGACGGGUAGCCGGCCUGAGAGGGUGACCGGCCACACUGGGACGGAGAUACGGCCCAGACUCCUACGGGAGGCAGCAGUGGGGAAUAUUGCACAAUGGGCGCAAGCCUGAUGCAGCGACGCCGCGUGAGGGAUGACGGCCUUCGGGUUGUAAACCUCUUUCAGCACCGACGAAGCGCAAGUGACGGUAGGUGCAGAAGAAGGACCGGCCAACUACGUGCCAGCCGCCGCUGUAA
rnacentral:rRNA from 1 species